rnacentral:rRNA from 1 species
UGCGCAGGCGGUCUUGUAAGACAGGUGUGAAAUCCCCGGGCUUAACCUGGGAACUGCACUUGUGACUGCAAGGCUGGAGUACGGCAGAGGGGGAUGGAAUUCCGCGUGUAGCAGUGAAAUGCGUAGAUAUGCGGAGGAACACCGAUGGCGAAGGCAAUCCCCUGGGCCUGUACUGACGCUGAGGAGCGAAAGCGUGGGUAGCGAACA